CGGUUAACGGAGCGAAAGCGACGUUCAACCGCAAAAGAAGCAGAGGGGGCUUAGUGGUGGGGUGACUGCGUACCUUUUGUAUAAUGGGUCAGCGACUUAUAUUCUGUAGCAAGGUUAACCGUAUAGGGGAGCCGGAGGGAAACCGAGUCUUAACCGGGCGUUAAGUUGCAGGGUAUAGACCCGAAACCCGGUGAUCUAGCCAUGGGCAGGUUGAAGGUUGGGUAACACUAACUGGAGGACCGAACCGACUAAUGUUGAAAAAUUAGCGGAUGACCUGUGGCUGGGGGUGAAAGGCCAAUCAAACCGGGAGAUAGCUGGUUCUCCCCGAAAGCUAUUUAGGUAGCGCCUCGUGAAUUCAUCUCCGGGGGUAGAGCACUGUUUCGGCUAGGGGGCCAUCCCGGCUUACCAACCCGAUGCAAACUGCGAAUACCGGAGAAUGUUAUCACGGGAGACACACGGCGGGUGCUAACGUCCGUCGUGAAGAGGGAAACAACCCAGACCGCCAGCUAAGGUCCCAAAGUCAUGGUUAAGUGGGAAACGAUGUGGGAAGGCCCAGACAGCCAGGAUGUUGGCUUAGAAGCAGCCAUCAUUUAAAGAAAGCGUAAUAGCUCACUGGUCGAGUCGGCCUGCGCGGAAGAUGUAACGGGGCUAAACCAU
rnacentral:rRNA from 1 species